UACUAGAGUAGCACUCGCAUAUCAAUAAGCGGAGGAAAAGAAACUAACAAGGAUUCCCUUAGUAACGGCGAGUGAAGCGGGAAGAGCUCAAAUUUGAAAUCUUCAAGGUUCUACCUUGACGAAUUGUAGUUUAUAAGAAGUGUUUUCUGUUAGUGGAGUGGCAAAAGUUCUUUGGAAUAGGACAUCAUAGAGGGUGAGAAUCCCGUAUUUGGUCAUUCCUCCUAGCUUUGUGAUACACUUUCAACGAGUCGGAUUGUUUGGGAAUGCAGUCCAAAAUGGGUGGUAAAUUUCAUCUAAAGCUAAAUAUUGGCGAGAGACCGAUAGCGAACAAGUACCGUGAGGGAAAGAUGAAAAGAACUUUGAAAAGAGAGUUAAACAGUACGUGAAAUUGUCAAAAGGGAAGCGUUUGACACCAGUGUUGUUUUUCCGAAAAUCAAUUACGAAUGUUUUGUUUUUGAGGAGUUAUGACUUCAUCGGCUUGCUCCUUUCUUUAUGAAACUUUCUUAAUGCACUUUUCGGUUAACAAGUCAACAUCAAUUUCUUUUGUUGUAAAAGGGUAUGAGGAAGGUGGCUUUCUUUUCGGAGAAAGUGUUUAUAGCCUUGUACUUCUGCAAUCGGAGAGAUUGAGGUCUGCAGCGUAGAUCCUUCGGGGUUAGAUACACUUGUGCUAAGUUAUAGCUUUUCAUAGACAACUUGUUGACUUAUGAUUAGUCUUGUAGCUUACUCGCUUAUGCUUAUUUUACCUACGCUUAGGAUGUUGAAGAUGUAGCACAUCAU
rnacentral:rRNA from 1 species